rnacentral:rRNA from 1 species
CCCGGUCCCAUUCCGAACCCGGAAGUUAAGCCCCCGAGCGCCGAUGGUACUGCGGAGUAGUCCGUGGGAGAGCAGGACGUCGCUGACC